AUUUGGUGUUGGGGGCAAUUUGUACACAACUUUUUGAAUCUCUCCUAAUAUUCAUAAAGGGAUUCCCCAGGAUGCUACUUAAUACCACAGAUCUCUUUUUGCAGACU